rnacentral:rRNA from 1 species
UACCAGCACCCCGAGUGGUCGGGACGAUUAUUGGGCCUAAAGCAUCCGUAGCCGGUCAUGCAAGUCUUCCGUUAAAUCCAGCCGCUCAACGGUUGGGCUGCGGAGGAUACUACGUGGCUAGGAGGCGGGAGAGGGCAAGCGGUACUCAGUGGGUAGGGGUAAAAUCCUUUGAUCCAUUGAAGACCACCAGUGGCGAAGGCGGCUUGCCAGAACGCGCUCGACGGUGAGGGAUGAAAGCUGGGGGAGCAAACCGG